AAGGCACGCGCGGGAGAGCAGGGGUGGUCAAACACCUCCGCCGAAGGAGCAACCGCCCCGGAAUCUCUCAGGCACCCAGGACCGCGCGGGGCCA
rnacentral:ncRNA from 1 species